UACGUAGGGUGCAAGCGUUGUCCGGAAUUAUUGGGCGUAAAGAGCUCGUAGGCGGUGUGUCACGUCGGCCGUGAAAACCUGGGGCUUAACUCUGGGCGUGCGGUCGAUACGGGCAUCACUAGAGUUCGGCAGGGGAGACUGGAAUUCCUGGUGUAGCGGUGAAAUGCGCAGAUAUCAGGAGGAACACCGGUGGCGAAGGCGGGUCUCUGGGCCGAUACUGACGCUGAGGAGCGAAAGCAUGGGGAGCGAACAGG
rnacentral:rRNA from 1 species